UAUCAGUGCAACCCAGCUACAACCGAUUGUUACAUCAAUGUUUUCCUCCAUGAUCGAGAGAUAGAGUUGUCGUUUGGAGGAGUUUUUGAUGGUGCAACCCAGACGGAGCUUUGUUGCUUGCGAUUUGCGAAUUUGGAUUUUGAUCAAGGAAUAUAUUCGGCAAAGAAGACCUCAUUUGGUAAGUGUUCUUGCUGUCUAGACUUUUGUUGAAUUUAGCAUGAGAAUUGUCAGAGAAAUCAUGCUCAAGUUUAAAUCUUUAGAAAUUUUUUGAUAAGGUUUCUUUUUCUGAGAACU
rnacentral:lncRNA from 1 species